ensembl:lncRNA
GAAACAUAUCAGUUCUCAGUUAUUACAGGAUUUAACUAACUUCUCAUUUCUGCUUUGGCCAUGAAAUGUUUUCAUUCAUUUCUAUACCUGUUUGGGAAGAAAGCUUAUAGCUGUCCUUCAGUGCCUCAUGGCAUCAAUUCUUCUGCAGAAAGAGAGAGUUUAUGAGAGCAGAUACACAGAAGAUAAAUAGAGACCAUGUCCUUGUAAUGAUGGCAACUGUUACCGGAGUGGAAGAAGCUUCAUUCUGGUGUCCUCAGAGAACAAGAAGCCAACAGCUGGUUGUUUAUUGAAGCACAAUGCAGAACACACUCAUCCGACCCUUACUGACAAAGAAGACUCUGAGUCAGAACACUGCAACAAAAGAAAGGAGAGCUGUUCACAAGAAAACUCUCUGAAAUUUAAAAAUAGGGAUCAAGCUCUUUCCAAUCCCUUAUUCUCCAAAGCAGUAGCCAUGUACCUCAAUGGAGAAAGUGCUGCCACAGGAGCUGGAUAUUAAUCUUGUGGCUGAAAUGAAGAAUGGAAAAGUUCUUCAAAACUUUUCCCUCUAUCUAUAGAAUGAAAGAUGUGACUGCUUUGUUUUCCAUUGCUUAUUUGUCUUAUCGUGAAUUUCUAAUACUUUUUUUCCUU